UCGCGCUCUCUCUCGCGCUCGCUCGCUCGCUCCAGUAUGUAAAUGUGUAAUAGAAGCCAAAUAUGGAGCAGUUGGCUGCCGCCGCCACAGCUCAAGGAUCCGACUUCAUGGGGGGGGGGGGGCACCCUCUGGCAGGCGGCCCGGCGAGCCGCACAGAGCACGGCGAGCGCACGGCGCGGCUGCCGGCCCGCGCCCUUAACCCUUCUGUGCACCCGGCCGGAGCAGCGGUCCCUCCCUCCAGGGGAGGCCCGGUGCCUCUCCCUAACUGCGGCUCCGGAUCCCGGACAUCGGCCCGUGGGGACUGUGCCUUCCAGGAGAAAAACUUCUGUGUAUGUCUGUGAGGGGAGCUCUGGAUUUCGUUCACUGAAGUGAGGAGACUCCCGUGAAUGUGGACAGCGCUGUUUCUGGGCUGGCAUCGUGAACUGAAUACAAAAGGAGAAAGCUUUUUCUCUCCUGGUGCUCAUUCUGGAAGAAAAACAAAAAGCAUCCAUACAAAGGCCCUGAGAGAGGGGAAGAGGAUAGAAGGUGUUGGAGGUGGUGUUGGUGGACCUGGGCAGGCAGAUCAGGACGGAGAACAACGGAACUAUUCUGGUGAUUUGGAAAAAAAAAAAGAAGAAGAAGAAGAAGAAGAGAAAGCAAACAGAAGUGUGGCGGCACCCCAGUAGCAAAGCAAUGAAGAUGGCUGUUUGCAAACCAGGAAGCAAGCAUUUAUCAGCCUCCUGGUCUGUGAGACCUUGGACCCUGAGUUUCCAGAACCUUGAGAAGCAGUGUUUGUUACUUAAGCCACCUGGUCUAUGGUAUUCUGUUACAGCAUCCUUACCUGAUGCUAGGACAGAGUGGAUCAGUGUAACAAGAAAAAUAAAGGACCCAGAAACAGGUAUUGGGGUUCGAGCUUCAAGCUGAAGAUCAGAAAAGCAAAGCAGCUGGGCACUACUAGCUCUUACCUCUACCUCAGACUGAAAGGUGACUCUGGCUCCACCAAACCUCAGACUGCUGCCUCUCCUCAGUGUGGCUGGAGAAUCCUGAGACUUUAGUGUCUUCCUAUCUUCUAUGAUGUGGCUGGAGAAUGACUGCAUGAUAUUGACUACUGAAGACCCUGCUACUAUCUUUUAUAUCCGGCUGAUGCUGGGAUUAAAGGAGUGUGAUCACACAUGCUGAGAUCAUCUUUGUGUGAGCUGUUUCUCUUUAGGACUGGAUCAAUCUUGUGUAGCUCUGAGUGGCCUUGGACACAGAGAGAUUCGUACACUUCUUAAUCCUGAGUCCUAGGAUUAAAGGUGUGCACCACCACAUCCUAGCUUCUGGCUGCUGGGAUUAAAGGUGUAUCACCA
rnacentral:lncRNA from 1 species